GUACACGCUGUGACUAGCAUAUCAAUAAGCGGAGGAAAAGAAACUAACAAGGAUUCCCCUAGUAACGGCGAGUGAAGCGGGAAGAGCUCAAAUUUGAAAUCUUAAAGGGUUUCCCUUUACGAAUUGUAGUUUAAAGAAGUGUUUUCUGUUGAGGUUUUGGUAAAAGUUCUUUGGAAUAGGACAUCAUAGAGGGUGAGAAUCCCGUAUUUGACCUUUACUUUCAACCUUGUGAUACACUUUCAAAGAGUCGGAUUGUUUGGGAAUGCAGUCCAAAAUGGGUGGUAAAUUUCAUCUAAAGCUAAAUAUUGGCGAGAGACCGAUAGCGAACAAGUACCGUGAGGGAAAGAUGAAAAGAACUUUGAAAAGAGAGUUAAACAGUACGUGAAGUUGUCAAAAGGGAAGCGUUUGACACCAGUGUUGUUUUUCUGAAAAUCAAUUAAAGAACUGUUUAUGCUAAGCUGUUUAGACUUUAUCAGCUAUCUGUUUAGUUUUGAGCUUUUCUUUAAUGCACUUUUCAGUUAACAAGUCAACAUCAAUUUCUUUUGCUGUAAAAAAGCUUGAGGAAGGUGGCUUGAGAUUCGUCUUAAGUGUUUAUAGCCUCUUGCCUAUGCAGUCGGAGAGAUUGAGGUCUGCAGCGUAGAUCCUUCGGGGCUAAAUGCAUUUGUGCUAAGUUAUAACAUUUUAUAGACAACUUGUUGACUAUGAUUUGUCUUGUAGCUUACUCGCUUAUGUUAUUUUACCUACGCUUAGGAUGUUGACGAGACUGUCGAUCUCAUCUAUACACUGACUGUGACUAGCAUAUCAAUAAGCGGAGGAAAAGUCAAUACCUACGCUUAGGAUGUUGACGAGACUGUCGAUCUCAUCUAUACAUGAGUCUGUGCAUAUCAAUAAGCGGAGGAAAAGUCAAUACCUACGCUUAGGAUGUUGAAGAUGUAGCACAUCAU
rnacentral:rRNA from 1 species